CGCGGUAAUACAGAGGGUGCGAGCGUUGUUCGGAUUUAUUGGGCGUAAAGAGCUCGUAGGCGGUUCAGUAAGUCGGAUGUGAAACCUUUGGGCUCAACCCAAAGCCUGCAUCCGAUACUGCUGUGACUUGAGUUCGGUAGGGGAGCGGGGAAUUCCUAGUGUAGCGGUGAAAUGCGCAGAUAUUAGGAGGAACACCGGUGGCGAAGGCGCCGCUCUGGGCCGAUACUGACGCUGAGGAGCGAAAGCGUGGGUAGCAAACAGG
rnacentral:rRNA from 1 species